CAGAGGUACCCAAGAGAUCGGCACAUUCAAAUAAAUUAUAAAAUGCACCUUUUUGGGAUAUGGAAUGGUAACAUUAGGGUUUAUAGUUAGGCUACCAAACAGAUGCUGUUGUUCUUCGGUGUGUGGAGGAUUCAUUUGCUCGUGACGGGUAGAGCGCUUCAGCUUGUCUAUGAAAGGUCAUGCAGAUUGCUUAUUUUCCUUUUAAGAUCUCUCAAUUCUCCGCUAAUGGUUUUGUGCUGUGAAGGCUAUACAAUAAGGAAUGUUGCUUGUUGCUGGUGGCCUGGUGCUAUGAGAUCUCUGCCUCUUGUGCUUGCUUUCCACGCAUGGUAUCUGUGUAUGAUGGCAUCAACGGCAAGGAUCAUGGACGAGAUUUAUAUUUCUAUAAUCAGUGUAUAUACACGUUAUAAUUAUUUACCUAAACUAGAUUAACAUAUAAAUUGUAAAUUACUAGAAAUUAGCUAAAGAUUUGGAAUGCAAUUCCUAUUUAAUGGAAAGAAUCCUCAUGAAGAGGUCAUUCAGCCUAGAUUGUCAUGGUAUCAGAGCUUACCUCUCAAUCCCACAGCUGAAUCUUCGAGUUUCUUCGAUUCUGGUUCUUCAUGCAGCACGAAUUAUUUUGGAUUGAUCAAUUUAUGGUCUAUUUCUUCGAUUUGAGAUUCCGGGUCAACCAAUUUUUAUUGGUCGACAUCAUCGCGUAAGCUUUCGAGUCUUACCAAUUUCUGGUCGACGAAUUUGUGUUGCUCUUCUGGUCGACAGCUUCGCAUCUUGAAUUGGAAGGAAGGAAGCCAUUUUGCAGGCUUGGGUGAUCUGUCUAACCGGGUACGGUUGGGUCGGCAACAUUUGGUGGAGGAAUUGGUGAUUCUAGUGGAGCCGCAGCAUCGGGAUAUUUUUUGUUCUUCGUGGGAUCUGUGACGUUUGGACUGAGA
rnacentral:lncRNA from 1 species